AUGGGGUCCCUGUGGGGAGAUACCAGGAUCCCGAAGGUGGUUUUUCCAGGGUGAGGCUUAUCUCUUGGAGCAUUUUACUCCACAAAUGCUGCCUCUGUGAUUUCUUCAAAUGCACUAAACUCAACUGCAUAAUUUGUGGUAGUGAGAGACUGCAUUUGUGCCCUCCCUGG
rnacentral:snRNA from 1 species